rnacentral:rRNA from 1 species
AGGACGAACGCUGGCGGCGUGCUUAACACAUGCAAGUCGAACGGAAAGGCCCGCUUGCGGGUACUCGAGUGGCGAACGGGUGAGUAACACGUGGGCAACCUGCCCUCAGCUUCGGGAUAACAUUUGGAAACAGGUGCUAAUACCGGAUAAUAACUUGUCAUCGCAUGGUGGUGGGUUCAAAGUUUUUCGGCUAGGGAUGGACUCGCGGCCUAUCAGCUAGUUGGUGAGGUAACGGCCCACCAAGGCGACGACGGGUAGCCGGCCUGAGAGGGCGACCGGCCACACUGGGACUGAGACACGGCCCAGACUCCUACGGGAGGCAGCAGUGGGGAAUAUUGCGCAAUGGGCGAAAGCCUGACGCAGCGACGCCGCGUGGGGGAUGAAUGCCUUCGGGUUGUAAACCCCUUUCAGCAGGGACGAAGCGAAAGUGACGGUACCUGCAGAAGAAGCGCCGGCUAACUACGUGCCAGCAGCCGC